CCUACGGGUGGCAGCAGUGAGGAAUAUUGGUCAAUGGGCGGAAGCCUGAACCAGCCAAGUAGCGUGCAGGAUGACGGCCCUACGGGUUGUAAACUGCUUUUAUACGGGAAUAACGCGCCUUACGUGUAGGGCUUUGCAUGUACCGUAUGAAUAAGGACCGGCUAAUUCCGUGCCAGCAGCCGCGGUAAUACGGAAGGUCCGGGUGUUAUCCGGAUUUAUUGGGUUUAAAGGGAGCGUAGGCCGCAUGUCAAGCGUGCUGUGAAAUGUCCGGGCUCAACCCGGGCCUUGCAGCGCGAACUGGCGUGCUUGAGUCCGCGGAAAGCAGGCGGAAUUCGUCGUGUAGCGGUGAAAUGCAUAGAUAUUACACAGAACACCGAUUGCGAAGGCAGCUUGCUAGGCCGGAUCUGACACUGAUGCACGAAAGCGUGGGGAUCGAACAGGAUUAGAUACCCCAGUAGUC
rnacentral:rRNA from 1 species